rnacentral:rRNA from 1 species
AGUGAACGCUGGCGGUAGGCCUAACACAUGCAAGUCGAACGGCAGCACAGAGGAGCUUGCUCCUUGGGUGGCGAGUGGCGGACGGGUGAGGAAUACAUCGGAAUCUACCCUGUCGUGGGGGAUAACGUAGGGAAACUUACGCUAAUACCGCAUACGACCUUCGGGUGAAAGUGGGGGAUCGCAAGACCUCACGCGAUUGGAUGAGCCGAUGUCGGAUUAGCUAGUUGGCGGGGUAAAGGCCCACCAAGGCGACGAUCCGUAGCUGGUCUGAGAGGAUGAUCAGCCACACUGGAACUGAGACACGGUCCAGACUCCUACGGGAGGCAGCAGUGGGGAAUAUUGGACAAUGGGCGCAAGCCUGAUCCAGCCAUACCGCGUGGGUGAAGAAGGCCUUCGGGUUGUAAGGCCCUUUUGUUGGGAAAGAAAAGCGACCGGCUAAUACCCGGUUGUCCUGACGGUACCCAAAGAAUAAGCACCGGCUAACUUCGUGCCAGCCGCCGCAGUAACAC